rnacentral:rRNA from 1 species
UACGUAGGGGGCAAGCGUUAUCCGGAUUCACUGGGUGUAAAGGGAGCGUAGACGGCCAUGCAAGCCUGGAGUGAAAGCCCGGGGCCCAACCCCGGGACUGCUCUGGGAACUGUGCGGCUGGAGUGCGGGAGGGGCAGGCGGAAUUCCUGGUGUAGCGGUGAAAUGCGUAGAUAUCAGGAGGAACACCGGUGGCGAAAGCGGCUCUCUGGCCUGUAACUGACACUGAGGCUCGAAAGCGUGGGGAGCAAACAGG